CUCGUAGUAGCUCCAAUUUGUAGAGCAAUGGGCCGUUAACUCAUUGGUUACAGGUGCGAAUCCUGUCUACGAGA
rnacentral:tRNA from 2 species